CCUUCAUCUUCAGCAGUGAAGCCACUGGUUUCUCAAAGACCAUCAGUCCCCACAUGCACUCCAAAAAUACCACGUCAACCAGAUCUUGAGUGGUCAAUUGUUGGAAGGGGCAGGAAGAGGCAACAACCCGGCCAAUUCCAUCUAACAUGCGAUGCCCCCAAAAGAAGGCUGCUUCACCAUCAGGAAGUGCUGAAGGAGUGCUCUGUCCUGCUAAAUCCUCUCAAGUUUAGUAGGGCAAGGUUGGCAGAAAUGAAUAAGAUUUCUCCAUCGCAUCUUCCUAGCCCGAAGAUCUGCACACCAGCUUCUCCACAAAUCAAAAAGGUAUCCAUUCUAAUUGUCUUUGUUGAGAAUCUUAUAUGGUAACUUGUCAUUAAAGAAUGUAAUAGUUUGCACACACGACUUGUUAGCUUGACGUUUUUCACAGCACUGAAGUCACAGUCAAAGACUAUGUGCUUGUAAAAUAAAACUUGUUUCUUAUUACAGAGGAGACCACCCG